rnacentral:rRNA from 1 species
GAUUAACGCUGGCGGCAUGCCUAAUACAUGCAAGUCGAACGAGAUCUUCGGAUCUAGUGGCGAACGGGUGAGUAACACGUAGGAAACCUGCCUCAAAGUCGAGGAUAACUAUUGGAAACGAUAGCUAAAACUGGAUAGGAUAUCGGAAGGCAUCUUCUGAUAUUUAAAGGCCCUUCUGGGGACGCUAUGAGAUGGUCCUGCGGUGCAUUAGCUAGAUGCGGGUAAGGCCACCAUGGCGACGAUCAGUAGCCGGUCUGAGAGGAUGAACGGCCACAUUGGGACUGAGAUACGGCCCAGACUCCUACGGGAGGCAGCAGUCGGGAAUAUUGGGCAAUGGGGGAAACCCUGACCCAGCAACGCCGCGUGAAGGAAGAAGGCCUUCGGGUUGUAAACUUCUUUUAGUAGGGACGAAUACGUGACGGUACCUACAGAAAAAGCAACGGCUAACUACGUG